rnacentral:lncRNA from 1 species
UAUAUUGAUCCAAAGUAUAUUGUUUAGUGACAAGCUGUUCCCCUUUGAGUUUGAUAGGGGGUUAUUUAUGUCUAAGUCUAAAUCUAAAAAAUGUAUUUGUAUACACCUGGCAGAAGGAAAGAAACAGUUGAAUAAAUUUAGAUAAAAGAAAAUAAAACCAGAAAUAAAAUCAGUAUGAAUUAAUGCCAUAUAUUCAUAUGUUAUUGUUACAGGUGGGCAGCAAAUUCGUCACUAAUUUUCCAGCAGCCAAUGAAAUAAAAGAAAACAAGGAUUUAAAAGACUCAUUGAAUAAAAAGAACCCAGGCUUCCAGAUCAGCCACCCUUGGGAAUGAUGUCAGUUACUGUGGGGUCAGCUGGGCAAUUUAGUGUACAGACUAAAGAUGAAGUGGUCAAAGGAUAAGGAGGUGAUAUCUAGAAGAUGUUGCAAGUGCCAGACUAUUUUAUGCUGCUGUAGAAAGCAAUAGCCAGAGUCCUGCAGAGCACAGAAGCAAGACUGUCUCCUCAGGUAAGCAGUAACAACUUCAUAUUUGUGUGGCACAUUUCACUUUUGUAACACUUUUGUAUAUUUCUUUUUUUCCCUUAUACCUUCACAGCACUGGUCUAAAAGUAUGUAGGUAGUUCUUUAAUUGUUACCUUAUAGAUGAAAAAAAGAGAAACCUCAGAGGGACUUACCUGAGCCCAAAGAGCUAAGAAGCAGGCCAGAACUCAAAAGAACUAUGCUUUUAAAAAUGACACUCUAUCAUGUCUUGAAAGUGCCUUGAAAGGAUCCCUCUGCCUCUAGUUUUCAAUCUGAAAUCUUAAGUUUGAUAAAAAUUUUACAUGCAGUGUUGCCUAUCCAAAAUUGCCCCUUUAUGGGACUUCAGAAUUUCCAUUAUCUUUGCUCUUUAUAUUUCCACUUAUCAUUGCUCCAAGAAAUUCUAAAAAUUCAGAUAAAAGUCCUUGCUUGAUUCUUUAAGGUUGUUUGAUAUUUGGAUCCAUUUGAAUGUUGACCAUAGCUGUCUAUUUUUAUAAUUUGUUUUUCACCAUGCAUAAACUACUAUCUUAACCUUGUUCUGUUUU